AGUGAACGCUGGCGGUAGGCCUAACACACGCAAGUCGAACGGCAGCACAGUAAGAGCUUGCUCUUACGGGUGGCGAGUGGCGGACGGGUGAGGAAUACAUCGGAAUCUACUUUUUCGUGGGGGAUAACGUAGGGAAACUUACGCUAAUACCGCAUACGACCUACGGGUGAAAGCAGGGGAUCUUCGGACCUUGCGCGAUUGAAUGAGCCGAUGUCGGAUUAGCUAGUUGGCGGGGUAAAGGCCCACCAAGGCGACGAUCCGUAGCUGGUCUGAGAGGAUGAUCAGCCACACUGGAACUGAGACACGGUCCAGACUCCUACGGGAGGCAGCAGUGGGGAAUAUUGGACAAUGGGCGCAAGCCUGAUCCAGCCAUACCGCGUGGGUGAAGAAGGCCUUCGGGUUGUAAAGCCCUUUUGUUGGGAAAGAAAAGCAGCAGGUUAAUACCCCGCUGUUCUGACGGUACCCAAAGAAUAAGCACGGGCUAACUUCGUG
rnacentral:rRNA from 1 species